rnacentral:rRNA from 1 species
UGCCAGCCGCCGCGGUAAUACGGAGGGGGUUAGCGUUGUUCGGAAUUACUGGGCGUAAAGCGCAUGCAGGUGGUUCAUUAAGUCAGAUGUGAAGGCCCGGGGCUCAACCUCGGAACUGCAUUUGAAACUGGUGAACUAGAGUGCUGUAGAGGGGGGUAGAAUUUCAGGUGUAGCGGUGAAAUGCGUAGAGAUCUGAAGGAAUACCGGUGGCGAAGGCGGCCCCCUGGACAAAGACUGACGCUCAGAUGCGAAAGCGUGGGGAGCAAACAGGAUUAGAUA